UAAAAUUAAAUUAAAUAAAAUCAAAAUUGUUAAUUGGACAUUAAUCUACUUUUGGGCUGGAACAUAAUUUGGCGACUGUGACAGGACUAUGCGUUCUAAUUUUAAUAUUUCGAUCAAAGAAAGCCAAUAGAUUAAUGUCUAAUUUUCAGUUAAAUUAAAAUUCGUUUCAAUACUGGAAAGAGCUGGCUCUGCGUUUGUUCAACCACACGAAAUUCGCCCACACUAUAUCAUCGUCUGUAGCAGUGUAGCGGUAUCCAACAAUCUGAAUCAACGGAUCAUUCGGAUUGUUGUGCCCAGGCAACAUUCUGUGUACGCGCAGAUAGCAACUCUUGCCACAUAUCAUCGUAGUAUCCACUGUAAACGUACAUACAGAUUACACGUGGUUUUCAACAUUCAUGCGAGACCUUCUUUUCAUCAACAUCUGUCGAAGUUACCGACAGUUAGUCAACUGGUCAAAAUCACAGUGCGAGUAUACGGGACUGCAGAACAGUUUCAUCAGAUUGCAGAUCUGCUUUUGCUACAUCUACAUCAACAUCAUCAUAUUCUUCAUAGUUCAGUUAUUCGUAUAUAUUUUAUUUUUUCCUUCAAAUGCCUUAUAACAGUAAAGCCGAUUUGCCUAACAUGGCGAUGAGGAACAAUCACAUUUUUCCUCGCUAAUUCAAAUACGUUCUACGUUUCUUCGCAACCUACAUAGUAUAAAACAACGAAUUGCUUGUGAAGAAGUCGACAGUGAUACCCAUGUUCUCGAAUGCCGAUUACAAAUUGUUGAGUCCUACUUUCAACAUCUUUGCGACGUUCAGAACAAUAUUGAAGCUCUUUCCCCGUCAGAAGAAUCAAGAGCAGAAGUUGAAGAAACGUAUAUUUCAACAAAAUCUAAAAUACUUUCGUUAAUCAACCCCAGAAACCGUGUUUCUGAACACUAGUAUAUUCAACGCAACGGCAUUCGGAAAUACUAGUCAUCAUAAUCGAUUGCCGUCGCUCAAAUUGCCAAAAUUUGACGGCAAAUAUGCGAAAUAUAAACGUUUUUCCGUACCUUUUGCAACAUGGUGCACGAUGACCCAAAAAUACCAAAGGUGGACAAGUUUAAUUAUCUUUUGAACUGUCUUUCAGGACCAGCCCUUAGCGUAAUCGAACCCUUUCAGGUAACCGAAGAAAAUUACGCGAAGGCUAUACAACGGCUCAAAGAACGAUACGACAAUAACGUAUUGAUGUUUCAAGAUCACAUUAUAUCGCUUUUUAAUAUUCCAGUUAUGAUAGAUCUGACGCAGCAAGUCUACGUAGUAUCAUUGACAAUGUUGCAGCGCUGCGAGGUUCGUUACUCUCGUUGGGCUCAGAAGGCGAUAUAAUGAAUUCAAUGCUAAUUCAUAUCGUCUUAACUAAAAUUGAUUCUGAUUCAAAAUCGACAUACAAUCAAAAGCAAGAGUUUAAAUACUUACCAUCAUGGGACGAUUGCUACAAGUGGUUAAAUCGGCACUGUCAGUAUUUAGAAACAUCUUCAAACGGGAAAAACUCAAAGGUAACACAGCGAGAUUGUAAGAUACUCGUUAACAGUUAAAAUGCGUUUUGAUUGGGUGAAGCAAACAAGUGCUUACAUCAAUUGCCUACGCAAAGGACAUACAGUAUCUAAAAGCCCAUCGAAAUCUCGUUGCCGUAUAUGUCAUCAAUCGCACCACUCUUAUCUACAUUUCGCCACCGUUGGAGCUACAAACUAUCUAUUUGUACAAAAGUUAGAACCUAAAGAGAAAGACUAAACACCAGUGCCGGUUACUUCGUCGAAUCCAUCGCAUCAUUCACCAACUAAUCCAUCAGUUUCACUCAUACCAACAGCCUUAAUUUACAUACAGGACAAAUUUGGAGUGAUGCAGCCAGCUCGUGCAUUAUUGGAAACAGCGAGGCGGUUGCAGCUUAAAAGGUUUUUUUCACAUCAGGAAGUCUCAGCUUGCGGAGCCUUACUUCUACACACCGCAACAUUAAGAUUUAUUGCUUAAUGCAGUAAUAUUUUUUGAAAGCCUUCAAGAAGGGUAAAACUCAAAGGUAACACAGCGAGAUUGUAAGAUACUCGGUAAGUAAAAUGCAAAUUCAUUCAUUAACGCGAUGUCAAAUUGCAUACAUUGCAAUAACGCAGAACAUAGUCUAAACAAUUGUCCUUCAUUUCUACAGUUAUCAGUUACAAUGCGUUUUGAUUGGGUGAAGCAAACAAGUGCUUACAUCAAUUGCCUACGCAAAGGACAUACAGUAUCUAAAAGCCCAUCGAAAUCUCGUUGCCGUAUAUGUCAUCAAUCGCACCACUCUUA